GUUUGGGGCUAACCUGGUCCAUAUAUAGUGAGUGCGUUCCAGGCCAACCAGGGCUACACAGUGAGACCUUGUCCCAACAAUAAGAAUAAUAAACCGAGCCGGGUGUGGUGGUGCACGCCUUUAAUCCCAGCACUCGGGAGGCAGAGGCAGGCAGAUAUCUGAAUUUGAGGCCAGCCUGGUCUACAGAGUGAGUUCCAGGACAGCCAGGGCUAUACAGAGAAACCCUGUCUCGAAAAACAAAAACAAACAAACAAACAAAAAAGGAUAAACCACCUCUGGAUGCAUCUGUGAUGAACCUGUACAUAAUACAGUAUAAGAACUGGUUGGUCUACAGAGUUCC
rnacentral:lncRNA from 1 species